rnacentral:rRNA from 1 species
CAAGUCGAACGGCACCCCUCUCCGGAGGGAAGCGAGUGGCGAACGGCUGAGUAACACGUGGAGAACCUGCCCCCUCCCCCGGGAUAGCCGCCCGAAAGGACGGGUAAUACCGGAUACCCCCGGGCGCCGCAUGGCGCCCGGGCUAAAGCCCCGACGGGAGGGGAUGGCUCCGCGGCCCAUCAGGUAGACGGCGGGGUGACGGCCCACCGUGCCGACAACGGGUAGCCGGGUUGAGAGACCGACCGGCCAGAUUGGGACUGAGACACGGCCCAGACUCCUACGGGAGGCAGCAUG